GAUGAACGCUGGCGGCGUGCCUAAUACAUGCAAGUCGAGCGAACAGACGAGGAGCUUGCUCCUCUGACGUUAGCGGCGGGCGGGUGAGUAACACGUGGAUAACCUACCUAUAAGACUGGGAUAACUUCGGGAAACCGGAGCUAAUACCGGAUAAUAUAUUGAACCGCAUGGUUCAAUAGUGAAAGGCGGUUUUGCUGUCACUUAUAGAUGGAUCCGUGCCGCAUUAGCUAGUUGGUAAGGUAACGGCUUACCAAGGCAACGAUGCGUAGCCGACCUGAGAGGGUGAUCGGCCACACUGGAACUGAGACACGGUCCAGACUCCUACGGGAGGCAGCAGUAGGGAAUCUUCCGCAAUGGGCGAAAGCCUGACGGAGCAACGCCGCGUGAGUGAUGAAGGUCUUCGGAUCGUAAAACUCUGUUAUUAGGGAAGAACAAAUGUGUAAGUAACUAUGCACGUCUUGACGGUACCUAAUCAGAAAGCCACGGCUAACUACGUG
rnacentral:rRNA from 1 species